GCAUAACUGCAUAUAUAAUGGCGUUUGAGAAGUAGUGUGCAUCUUAAUUCGUCACAACAUUUGCAUGCCAUAUCUUUUGUCGUUUCUUAUUGUUGCUCUGAUUCUGAUUCUGAUUACUUAUCCAACUUCAUCAAAUAAUUAACGCAUCUUUUCCGUUCCAAUGUCUCCCCCAUCCGUCGAUCAAGGUAACGCCGAUCCAGAGGAAGAAGAAGAAGAAGAAGAAGAAGAGGAGGAGGAGGAGGAGGAGGAGGAGGAGGAAGAGGAAGAAGAAGAAGAAGAAGAAGAAACCGACGGUGAUGAUAAAGGCUACGCCUCAAAUUCUGUAUCCGAUGCCGACAACGAUGGCAUAGAUUCAUGCCAACAAAUGGAAUCUGAAGUACAAGAGAGGAACUUGAGGCCAGCUUCUACUAUGGCGGAAAACCCUAUAGUAAUGUCUUCUCCUAGUAUGCCAUCCAAUGAAGAUGAUCAUGCCAUUCUCAAAGCAUCUAGUCCUUCAUCUGAGGAACUAAGUUUUAAAAAGGAAGAGGUUCACACAACACGCGAAAUUUCAAGUCAUCCCAAAUCAGUAAAUGAUUUUGCUUCCGCUGAAGGUGGCAAAAGUCAAGUUUUAGACUCCAGCCAACAGAUGAAAUCUGAGGGGCAAGGGGGGGACUUGAGGCCAGCUUCCACCAUGGCGGAAAACCCUGUAGUAAAGCCUUCUCCUAGUCUGUGUUCCAAAGAAGAGAAUUGUGUCAUUCUCAAAGCAUGUGUUGUUUCUGCUCCUUCAUCUGACACGCUAGCUUUGAAAAAGGAACAAGUUUUCCCAACUCCAAAAAUUUCAAAUUCUAGUCAUCCCAAAUCAGUUAAAAACUUGGCCCCUGCAGAUGAUGGCAAAAGUCAAGUUUUAGAUGUUGAUGGUGCAAAUACUGGAAUUGUUCAACUAACAUACACUGUUGGAGGGUGCAAUGAACCAAGUAACGAUAGCAAAGCUGAUUUAGGUGGUGUUAAGGAUAUGGAUUCUGGGGCCACCAAGUUGUCUAGUAACAUUGGAAAAGACAUCGCUAUUGGCCUUCCUCAAACGGAUGCCUUUGUUGGGAGUGCCAAUGGCAGUCAGAAUUCCUUGAAAAGAAUUGUACCAUUGGAAGUAGAAUCAAAGGAUGAUGUAAAACAAAUCAAAUCAAGGACUAUAGUUCCGUCUUCGAAUACUGAGAUGAAGGAUGGAAACAAACGCCAGGGAAUUAUAUGUGCCUUUUUUGCUCAAGGGUGGUGCAUCAGAGGUGAUUCCUGUAGCUUUCUUCAUAUAAAAGAUUCUGCAAAGGAUACUGGCCAGGAGACUCAGGGGGACUUGGAUAAAGCAAAGCAGAAGAGAGAACUGGAAUUAGAAGAAGGUACCAGGGACAAUAUCAAAAGAACCAGGACGAAUGAGCAAGAAGAAAGCUCAGACUGGCAUCCUUGUCAAGAAAAAAAUAAGUACCAGUUGAGGGACAACUUGUUUCCAGAGAGUAGAUUUACAAGCAAAUAUUUCAACACAAGUCUCUCAUCCUAUUCAAAUCAUGCAGAGGGAUUGAGUAUAGCUCAAAACCAUCAUAUGUACAAUGAAUAUACUUCUGCAGUUUUGAGUCGUUCACCUAAGUUGAGCUUUGUUACUCAGAAACUUUUGAAUAGUGACAAAGAAUAUAAUGCCUCUAGAUCUGCUUUCUCUGGCUCAGAGCGGGAGGAGUUGCCAGUGGUUGGUUCAUCUAGGAUUCCAAUACACUCUGCUGCAUAUAUAUCAAAAAUAUGUUCUUAUGAUUGGGAACCUUCUGUACCGUUUCGACCAUCAUUUUUCAUUACGUCAAUGAAUGUAUCAUCUCUGGGAGACCUGUAUGACCCUCUUCGAGAUAGCAUUGAGAUACCAAAUAUAGGAGAUGGGUCUUUGAAAGCUUCCCUCUUAAUUCAUGGAUCAUCCAUCCAGGCUUCAUCACAGGUGCUGAAAUAUGGCGAUUCAGCUGUAGUUGGGAAACAUAUUUCUGAUUUUAAUGAUGAGAAAAGUUCCGUAUCUUCUCAUAAUAGAUUUGGUGAGAAUCAACCAAACAAAAAUUUGGUUCCUCAUGAAAAAGAUUGUCAUGCAACUGAAAUGGAAAUAACAUCAGGGACUUGUAUGAACUACCCCAAUGGUAAAAUCGGCAUGGGGAAAGAUGUUACAAAAUCAGACAGAGAAUGGACUGAACAUGAUGCCAAACAUCAUGGUGAAGGAUCAGCGCACAAGAAGAGAGUAGAUAGGGAUAAGAAAAUUAAUGAUACAGAUGCCGAUUUGCAGACUGACUGCAGUGUGCAGAAGGAUUCCAAAGCAAUGAGACACUUUCGUGCAGCUCUUGUUGACUUGGUGAAAGAAUUGUUAAAACCAUCUUGGCACGAGGGCCGUCUUAGUAAGGAUGCACAUAUCUUGAUAGUUAAAAGAUCAGUUGACAAGAUACUCAGCACCUUAGAGCCUCAGCAAAUUCCAACCUCUAUAGAUGCUACUAAGCAAUAUGUUUCUCUGUAUCGAGGAAAAAUUGCAAAGAUGGUCAAUGGAUAUAUCAACAAAUUUGGCAAGUCUUGAUAUGCUAGGCCCAAACACCUUUGUUGUACAGUUUCUUAUCAGUUUGGCUGAUACUAAAUUCAAAACUUCUGCUUGAGGCUCUCUGUUUCAUAGUAAAGGGUUCAUGCUGUUAGGAUUUCAUGCAUCUGGACAUUUAUGGAAAGUACCUUAGAAUAUGCAGCAUGCUAAGCAGGUUUUCUUAAUGGCUCAACUGGGGUUUUUGCUAUAUUUAUUGUUGAUGGUUGAUUCACUAUGUAAAACAUGUAAAAAGCCACAAUUUGAAAUCUCUAUUUAUCACAAAUUCACAAUAAAAGAUGAUGUCAAAUCUUGGUAUUGUGUUUAUCAUAGUUUCAGAUGCAGUCUUCAGUUUCCUAACUUUAUGGAUAAUUGUGUUGCUCUUCGAUGAUGGACUGUGUAAAUGAAAGGAGAAAUUCAGAAUUUUACGAAGGUACUGUUUCUCAUUUCACUUAAUGACGGACAGUAUGUUGUUCCAUCCAGCCUAUACUCAUGUAAGUGUAAUUUUCUUUGAAUAUUUAUUUCAGUAUUUUUGUAUAGUUCUCUCGUGGUCAUUAUUAAAUCUUCGGCAAAAAAAUACUAAAUUAUUAGCUGAUUAAGCAAAUAGAAUAUUAAUAACUUUGUGCAUCAUGUUUCUCAUCUUGCCAAAAGAAAAAAAUGUUAUUAGCUUUGAAUAGCUAAAUAAAAUUAAAAAAGGGUAGAAACUAGAAAAUAUCAGUAGUUUAAUGUUAAUUAUUGUGAUGACAUUACUGCAGUAAAACAAAUAGUGUCACAUUUAUUCUUCUGAGAAACUACAUAGCUAUGUAAGGCCAAAUACUUGAUGCCAUUCUGUUCUUUGAAGAAAGAAUUCCACAGGGAAUAAACCUUGUAUGAUCAAAUUUCUGGAAUGGUUUGUGCUUUAGCAACAGUUGGCUUAAUGGCUUGCGAGUCUCGGCAUGGUGAAAGAAAGCACUUCAUUUUUUGGCCAAAUCUUCUCCUUGCGGUGCUUUCGUUGGUUUUAUGUCUGCUUGCUUUGCUAUGUUGUUCCUGAUGUUUCAUCACGCUGCCUGUUUUCCCACUUGACUUCUUACUACUGCUAUGAGUUGCUAGUAAUGAGCCUAAAGAACUAGAUUGAUUUCUGAUCAAAGACUGACUUGAAAAUGCUUGUGGUUGAAGUUGACCAUUGGAAAUAAGAAGAUCAGCAGGUAUGAUCUUGAUUGUGUCGACUGUGGAAUUUAAGUCUGGUUUAGUGCUGCUAAAUUCAAAUUCUGGGUUUUGCUUGCUUUCCUGGUAGUAUUUGGCAUGGUUAGGAGAAGGGAGCAUUGAUUGCCCUUGGAUAGAAACAAGGCCGCUAAAAGAGAGUGAAUCCGGUGAAACAUUAUCAGCUGCAACGUGGGAGGUAAGCAUGUUUCCUUGCCACGCAGACAUUGGUUUAUGUCUAAUUGGUUGAGUUGAAAACUUAUAUAUGCAGAUACUGUACUUGCUGGAAGUUGAAACCACCUUUUAAGUCCAUUGGAUUGUGUUUUGCCGACUUCAAGUUUGUUUGUUCUCAGUUUCAUCUUUUCUCUUACUUUAGUCCCCCUUUGUGAAGCAGAAUUUAACCGUGUAAGCCUAUAGCAUAUUUAAUUGAGGAGUGAUGUGUACACAUUGGAAAGUUCAUUACCAUAUCAUGAUAGGAUGUAGUGUAAGGGUGAAGCCACACUCUCUCCUUUGAUGAACUGAUAAGGUCCCAAAUGAGUACGUCCAACAUGAGUCAAAAUCAAUUCUUUAUUA